rnacentral:sRNA from 1 species
AAACAAGUUGUUAUUUUGGGAUAUUAGUAUGUAUUUGUGUGCAAUUUUAAGUACUUGUUGUCAAUGAUCAAAUAUUCGGUUAAAACGAAUCGAGACAAUUUUUCUGGAUAUUCGCUUCGUGCCCAGACCUAGUUGUCAUUAUUUAGGAACAACAAAAUUUAAUUGCUAAUUUGGAUUUAUCUUGCGUCCAAAUUCUAGUACGCAUAUGAUUCAAAAAUCGUCCAAAAU